AGCUCAGUUGGUAGAGCAGCGGACUGAAAAUCCGCGUGUCGCCAGUUCAAUUCUGGCC
rnacentral:tRNA from 1 species